rnacentral:rRNA from 1 species
CCUACGGGUGGCUGCAGUGAGGAAUAUUCGUCAAUGGGCGCGAGCCUGACCCAGCCAAGUCGCGUGAGGGAUGACUGUCCUACGAUUUGUAAACUUCUUUUUUAAAGGAAUAAAGUGAGGCACGUAUCCCUUUUUGUCUGUACUUUAUGAAUAAGGAUCGGCUAACUCCGUGCCAGCAGCCGCGGUAAUACGGAGGAUCCGAGCGUUAUCCGGAUUUAUUGGGUUUAACGGGAGCGUAGAUGGUUUGUUAAGUCAGUUGUGAAAGUGUGCGGCUCACCCGUAAAAGUGCAAUUGAUACUGGCAGCCGUGAGUACAGGAGAGGAAGGCGGAAUUCGUGGUGUAGCGGUGAAAUGCUUAGAUAUCACGAAGAACUCCGAUUGCGAAGGCAGCUCACUAGACUGCCACUGACAUUGAUGCUCGAAAGUGUGGGUAUCAAACAGGAUUAGAUACCCGGGUAGUC